rnacentral:rRNA from 1 species
GGGGAAUUGUUCGCAAUGGGCGCAAGCCUGACGACGCAACGCCGCGUGGAGGACGAAGAUCUUCGGGUCGUAAACUCCUGUCGAGCGGGAAGAACGCUUCCCGGGUGAAUAUCCUGGGGAAUUGACGGUACCGCUAAAGGAAGCCCCGGCUAACUCCGUGCCAGCAGCCGCGGUAAUACGGGGGGGGCAAGCGUUGUUCGGAAUUACUGGGCGUAAAGGGCGCGUAGGCGGCCCGCUAAGUCGAACGUGAAAUCCCCGGGCUCAACCCGGGAACUGCGUCCGAUACUGGCGGGCUUGAAUCCGGGAGAGGGAUGCGGAAUUCCAGGUGUAGCGGUGAAAUGCGUAGAUAUCUGGAGGAACACCGGUGGCGAAGGCGGCAUCCUGGACCGGUAUUGACGCUGAGGCGCGAAAGCCAGGGGAGCAAAC